UACGUAGGGUGCGAGCGUUAAUCGGAAUUACUGGGCGUAAAGCGUGCGCAGGCGGUUUUGUAAGCCAGAUGUGAAAGCCCCGGGCUCAACCUGGGAAUGGCAUUUGGGACUGCAAGGCUGGAGUUUGGCAGAGGAGACUGGAAUUCCUGGUGGUAGCAGUGAAAUGCGUAGAUAUCAGGAGGAAUACCGAUGGCGAAGGCAGGUCUCUGGGCUAUAACUGACGCUCAUGCACGAAAGCGUGGGGAGCAAACAGG
rnacentral:rRNA from 1 species